rnacentral:rRNA from 1 species
UACGUAGGGUGCACAGCGUUAUCCGGAUUUAUUGGGCGUAAAGAGCUCGUAGGCGGUUUGUCGCGUCUGGUGUGAAAGCCCGCAGCUUAACUGCGGGUCUGCGCCGGAUACGGGCAGGCUUGAGUGCAGUAGGGGAGACUGGAAUUCCCGGUGUAACGGUGGAAUGUGUAGGUAUCGGGAAGAACACCAAUGGCGAAGGCAGGUCUCUGGGCUGUUACUGACGCUGAGGAGCGAAAGCGUGGGGAGCGAACAGG